AUUGGACGCUGGCGGCAUGCUUUACACAUGCAAGUCGAACGGUAACAGCACUUCGGUGGCUGACGAGUGGCGAACGGGUGAGUAAUACAUCGGAACGUGCCUAGUAGUGGGGGAUAACUACUCGAAAGAGUAGCUAAUACCGCAUGAGAUCUAAGGAUGAAAGCAGGGGACCUUCGGGCCUUGCGCUACUAGAGCGGCUGAUGGCAGAUUAGGUAGUUGGUGGGAUAAAAGCUUACCAAGCCGACGAUCUGUAGCUGGUCUGAGAGGACGACCAGCCACACUGGGACUGAGACACGGCCCAGACUCCUACGGGAGGCAGCAGUGGGGAAUUUUGGACAAUGGGCGCAAGCCUGAUCCAGCAAUGCCGCGUGCAGGAUGAAGGCCUUCGGGUUGUAAACUGCUUUUGUACGGAACGAAAAGCCCUCUUCUAAUACAGGAGGGUCAUGACGGUACCGUAAGAAUAAGCACCGGCUAACUACGUG
rnacentral:rRNA from 1 species